GCUGAGGAGUCCCAUAAUAGGACGAAACGGCCGUCCAGUGC
rnacentral:hammerhead_ribozyme from 1 species